UGAGGAAUAUUGGUCAAUGGGCGGGAGCCUGAACCAGCCAAGUCGCGUGAGGGAGGAAGGUCCUACGGAUUGUAAACCUCUUUAGCCGGGGAGCAACGUGCGCCACGCGUGGCGCAGUGAGAGUACCCGGAGAAUAAGCAUCGGCUAACUCCGUGCCAGCAGCCGCGGUAAUACGGAGGAUGCGAGCGUUAUCCGGAUUUAUUGGGUUUAAAGGGUGCGCAGGCGGCGCGAAAAGUCAGCGGUCAAAAGUUCCGGGCUCAACCCGGUGACGCCGUUGAAACUUUCGGGCUGGAGUUCGUGCGAGGGAGGCGGAAUUCGUGGUGUAGCGGUGAAAUGCUUAGAUAUCACGAAGAACUCCGAUUGCGAAGGCAGCUCACGGGAGCGCAACUGACGCUGAAGCUCG
rnacentral:rRNA from 1 species